AUGCCCGUCGCCGGAGCUCCUCCUUGCCCGCGCCCGGAGGACGCCGAGCUGUCGACGCACCUCCCCAACCCUCUGCAUCGCCAGGAUCCGGAAAGGUCCAUGCCUCCCCUGCCGCCGGCGCCGCCAAGUCCUGCUGCAGCCGCUCCCCUGCUUCCCCUGCACUUCUGCUGCCGCCGCUCCCGCUCGUGCGAGACGAACGAGUGCUCCGUCCGCCUCCCCAAGCCGCCGCCCUGGCCUCGGAUCCGGCCAGUUCCCGUGCGCCCUCGCUCCGCCAAGUCCCCUCUUCGGAUCUCGCCGCGAGACGCCCGCGCCGAGUCCAGCGCCAAGCCGCCGCCGUUGCCCCUGUUUCCUGCCGCUGCACCGCUGCUGCCUUCAACAUCCACAGGCGUAGGUGCUCGCGUUGACCGCGUCAACCAGCGGCUCGUCCCGCGCCUUUGCUCGCUGCGUUGA
rnacentral:rRNA from 1 species